GAUGAACGCUAGCUACAGGCUUAACACAUGCAAGUCGAGGGGCAGCGCAGUGUAGCAAUACAUGGGCGGCGACCGGCGCACGGGUGCGUAACGCGUAUCCAACCUUCCCGUUACUCAGGGAUAGCCUUCCGAAAGGGAGAUUAAUACCUGAUGGUAUCAGAAUUUCGCAUGUUAUUCUGAUUAAAGAUUUAUCGGUAACGGAUGGGGAUGCGUGACAUUAGGUAGAUGGCGGGGUAACGGCCCACCAUGCCCACGAUGUCUAGGGGUUCUGAGAGGAAGGUCCCCCACACUGGAACUGAGACACGGUCCAGACUCCUACGGGAGGCAGCAGUGAGGAAUAUUGGUCAAUGGUCGGAAGACUGAACCAGCCAAGUAGCGUGAAGGAUGAAAGGUUCUAUGGAUUGUAAACUUCUUUUAUACGGGAUAAAACCACCUACGUGUAGGUGCUUGUAUGUACCGUAUGAAUAAGCAUCGGNUAACCUCGUGCCAGCAGCCG
rnacentral:rRNA from 1 species